rnacentral:rRNA from 1 species
ACAACUUCUAACGGUGGACCCCUCGGCUCGUGCAUCGAUGAAGAACGCAGCGAACUGCGAUAACUAGUGCGAAUUGCAGAACACAGUGAAUCAUCGAGUCUUUGAACGCAAAUUGCGCUCCUGGUUCCAGCCGGGAGCACGUCUGUCCGAGCG